CAUUUUAAAACCAACUGAUUUUGGGACAGUGUGCUGUCUAAAUGUCCAAAAUGUUAAACAGUUAAACAGUUUUAUUUCAGGUUUUUAAUCAAAAACCCAUUUUAAAACCAGUUGAUUUUGGGACAGUGUGCUGUCUAAAUGUCCAAAAUGUUAAACAGUUAAACAGUUUUAUUUCAGGUUUUUAACCCAAAACCCAUUUUAAAACCAAUUGAUUUUGGGACAGUGUGCUGUCUAAAUGUCCAAAAUGUUAAACAGUUUUAUUUCAGGUUUUUAACCCAAAACCCAUUUUAAAACCAGUUGAUUUUGGGACAGUGUGCUGUCUAAAUGUCCAAAAUGUUAAACAGUUAAACAGUUUUAUUUCAGGUUUUUAAUCAAAAACCCAUUUUAAAACCAGUUGAUUUUGGGACAGUGUGCUGUCUAAAUGUCCAAAAUGUUAAACAGUUAAACAGUUUUAUUUCAGGUUUUUAACCCAAAACCCAUUUUAAAACCAAUUGAUUUUGGGACAGUGUGCUGUCUAAAUGUCCAAAAUGUUAAACAGUUUUAUUUCAGGUUUUUAACCCAAAACCCAUUUUAAAACCAGUUGAUUUUGGGACAGUGUGCUGUCUAAAUGUCCAAAAUGUUAAACAGUUAAACAGUUUUAUUUCAGGUUUUUAAUCAAAAACCCAUUUUAAAACCAGUUGAUUUUGGGACAGUGUGCUGUCUAAAUGUCCAAAAUGUUAAACAGUUAAACAGUUUUAUUUCAGGUUUUUAAUCAAAAACCCAUUUUAAAACCAGUUGAUUUUGGGACAGUGUGCUGUCUAAAUGUCCAAAAUGUUAAACAGUUAAACAGUUUUAUUUCAGGUUUUUAAUCAAAAACCCAUUUUAAAACCAGUUGAUUUUGGGACAGUGUGCUGUCUAAAUGUCCAAAAACUGUUUAACAUUUAUUUCAGGUUUUUAACCAAAAACCCAUUUUAAAACCAAUUGAUUUUGGGACAGUGUGCUGUCUAAAUGUCCAAAAUGUCAAACAGUUAAACAGUUUUAUUUCAGGGU